rnacentral:rRNA from 1 species
ACACGACUACAUUAGAUACCCGCGUAGUCCCAGCUGUAAACGAUGCAGGCUAGGUGUUUGGACGGCCACGUGCCGUUCUAGUGCCGCAGGGAAGCUGUUAAGCCUGCCGCCUGGGGAGUACGAUCGCAAGAUUGAAACUUAAAGGAAUUGGCGGGGGAGCACCACAAGGGGUGAAGCUUGCGGUUUAAUUGGAGUCAACGCCGGAAAUCUCACCGGGAGUGACAGCAGUGUGAAGGCCAGAUUAAAGGUCUUGCCAGACGAGCUG